AGGGCGGGUGGGAGAGUAGGUUGCUGCCGCAUU
rnacentral:sRNA from 1 species